rnacentral:rRNA from 1 species
GAUGAACGCUGGCGGCGUGCCUAAUACAUGCAAGUCGAGCGAACAGAUGAGGAGCUUGCUCCUUUGACGUUAGCGGCGGACGGGUGAGUAACACGUGGAUAACCUACCUAUAAGACUGGGAUAACUUCGGGAAACCGGAGCUAAUACCGGAUAACAUGUUGAACCGCAUGGUUCAACAGUGAAAGACGGUCUUGCUGUCACUUAUAGAUGGAUCCGCGCCGCAUUAGCUAGUUGGUAAGGUAACGGCUUACCAAGGCAACGAUGCGUAGCCGACCUGAGAGGGUGAUCGGCCACACUGGAACUGAGACACGGUCCAGACUCCUACGGGAGGCAGCAGUAGGGAAUCUUCCGCAAUGGGCGAAAGCCUGACGGAGCAACGCCGCGUGAGUGAAGAAGGUCUUCGGAUCGUAAAACUCUGUUAUUAGGGAAGAACAAAUGUGUAAGUAACUAUGCACGUCUUGACGGUACCUAAUCAGAAAGCCACGGCUAACUACGUGCCAGCAGCCGCGGUAAUACGUAGGUGGCAAGCGUUAUCCGGAAUUAUUGGGCGUAAAGCGCGCGUAGGCGGUUUUUUAAGUCUGAUGUGAAAGCCCACGGCUCAACCGUGGAGGGUCAUUGGAAACUGGAAAACUUGAGUGCAGAAGAGGAAAGUGGAAUUCCAUGUGUAGCGGUGAAAUGCGCAGAGAUAUGGAGGAACACCAGUGGCGAAGGCGACUUUCUGGUCUGUAACUGACGCUGAUGUGCGAAAGCGUGGGGAUCAAACAGG